AGCCUUUAGCUAAACUAGUAUUAAAGGUUCUGCCUGCCCAGUGAACUUUUUAAACGGCCGCGGUAUCCUAACCGUGCAAAGGUAGCAUAAUCACUUGUCUCCUAAAUAGAGACUAGAAUGAAUGGCUAAAUGAGGACAAAACUGUCUCUUACACUUAACCAAUGAAACUGAUCUUUCAGUACAAAAGCUGAAAUAAACCCAUAAGACGAGAAGACCCUGUGGAGCUUUUAGAUCAACAUCACCAUUAUGUUUUACCUGAUCUUCAGUUGGGGCAACUUCGGAGCAUAAUAAACCCUCCGACAAACUAAUCGUUAAUAAGAUUAAACAAAUCAAAUUUAAACUUACCUGACCCAGUAAUAUUUUAAUUAUCUGAUCAACGGACCAAGUUACCCCAGGGAUAACAGCGCUAUCCCCCUUUAGAGUCCUUAUCGACAGGGGGGUUUACGACCUCGAUGUUGGAUCAGGACACCCCGAUAGUGCAGCAGCUAUCAAAGGUUCGUUUGUUCAACGAUUAAUAGUCCU
rnacentral:rRNA from 1 species